rnacentral:rRNA from 1 species
UGAACGCUGGCGGCGUGCCUAACACAUGCAAGUCGAGCGGUAAGGCCCCUUCGGGGGUACACGAGCGGCGAACGGGUGAGUAACGCGUGGGUAAUCUACCUGGAAGUGGGGGAUAGCUUCGGGAAACCGGAGGUAAUACCGCAUGAAGCCCAGACGACACAAGUCGAUUGGAAAAAAGAUGGGGAUCUUCGGACCUGUCGCUUUCAGAUGAGCCCGCGUCCGAUUAGCUAGUUGGUGAGGUAAUGGCUCACCAAGGCUCCGAUCGGUAGCCGGCCUGAGAGGGUGAUCGGCCACAUUGGGACUGAGACACGGCCCAGACUCCUACGGGAGGCAGCAGUGGGGAAUUUUGGGCAAUGGGGGAAACCCUGACCCAGCGACGCCGCGUGGAGGAUGAAGGUUUUCGAAUUGUAAACUCCUGUCAGGUGGGAAGAAGGCUACUAGGUUAAUACCCUGGAUAGUUUGACUGUACCACCAAAGGAAGCCCCGGCUAACUCC